rnacentral:rRNA from 1 species
UACGGAGGAUCCAAGCGUUAUCCGGAUUUAUUGGGUUUAAAGGGUGCGUAGGCGGCUUAUUAAGUCAGGGGGUGAAAGACGGUGGCUCAACCAUCGCAGUGCCUUUUGAUACUGAUGAGCUUGAAUACACUAGAGGUAGGCGAAUGUGACAAGUAGCGGUGAAAUGCAUAGAUAUGUCACAGAACACCAAUUGCGAAGGCA